GUGACUUCUAACCCUAGUUACACUAACGGUCUGUACAGCUGUUAUGAGAGGGUGAAAACACAAGGAACCUUAAUGUGUAGCUACACUUUAACCACAUUAAGACUGAACUUGUCCAAGUGCCCCAAGUGAAGGAGUUCAAGUACUUUGGUGUCUUGUUCACGAGUGAAGGGACAGUGGAGCGUCAGAUUGGCCAGCGAAUCGGCGCAGCAGGGACUGUAUUGGAUUCGCUCUACCGUACUGUAGUGACGAAAAAGGCAGCCGAACCAAAAGACUGGUCAAACUUUUUCCUACUCUCACCUAUGCUCGUGACCGAAAGAACUAGAUCACGGGUACAAGCAGCCAAAAUGGGUUUCCUCAGGGGGGUGGCUGGUGUUUCCCUUAGAGAUACGGUGAGAAGGUCAGUCAUCCGUGAGGAGCUCCAAGUGAAGAGAUUAUAUGUCCACACUGGCCUGGGAACGCCUCAGUAUCCCCCAAACAGUGGUGGUUAAUGUGGCCUGGGAAAGGGAAGUCUGGGGUUCCCGGCUGGAACUGCUGGCCCCGCGAUCUGGUCCCGGAUAAGCGGUUGAAGAUGCAUAUAUGUAACUGAACUUUAAACUCAGAAAGUUAAGUAAUUUCUCUCCACCGAAGUCUGAGUUCGGAACACAUUUGAAUUAAUAACUGUUUGACUGCAGCUGCUAAUUUUCACAAAAAGACCAACAACUGACCAAAUUCAUCAUUUGCACAAGCAUUAACGCGCUUCUUGCAUGCUAAUACCCAUGCUAGGAUUAGCAGCACACAGCUGCAUUCGUCUUCAAAAUUAAAAACUCUUGAGGACAUCCACAGAUUUAGAAAACACCCGGACUCAGAAGGUACAGAGAACUAAAGCAUGUGUCGGACUGAGACCCAAGCAAACGGAACAGGGUAAUUGUACACACGCAUGUGCGUACGUAUACAGUAGAAAUUAGAAAAUACACAAAAGAAAUAAAUAAGAAGAAAAAUAAAUUACAAAAACGACAAGGCGAUGAAGGAGCACAACAAACAGGUCCGACGGUGAGGCGGGAACUAUGAAGACUGGCUCAGUGUUCAGGAUCCGCAGGAAACAAAAACCACAAAUACUCUGAGUGAACUUCACACUCCCACAACACACUCGCUCGUUCCCGCUGCCGCCGCAGACUGCAGGUCAGCCUCAUCAGUAAAAAACAACAAACAAAACAAACACCACACACACACACGCACCCUUUAACACCAGUAGUUCAGAACUAAGGUAGGAACUGUCUUGUUGGUGACAUUUUAACCCCUUAAAAUAGAUCAAGGUUAGCCAUCUUUGAACUUGUCCAAGGUCUAUGUCCCAAGAAUGUUCCCUGUGAAUUUGAAGACUCUGGCAGUAAGAGGACUGGACUUACGCUGAGCACAGACAGAUGGAUGGAUAGAUGCAAAACCUUCGCAAUACCUGACGGCCAUAUUUUGAUGGCCUCUGGUAAUGAAGCAUUAACGACAACCAGUUCACUACAAACGACUGUUCUAACGAGUGAGCGGCGCAGAGGUUUAGCUCGGUCCAGUGAAUGAAUGUCGCCAUUUUUCCACAUGCAAUUUAUCACCUUUACCCAUUUUUCGAUUGACCAAUCCGAGAUUGCACAAAAAGCAACCCUGCAGUCAAUAGACACUGUACCACCAGAGGAUGCUGGCGUAGGAACAAAAACAGAAGAUUUCCUGAAAGAGUUCCAGCGGUGCAAAAGGUCCUGAACAGUACUGUGUUCCGACAAACUGAUCCAAAGCAGCAGCUGAAGAAUAAACAAGGCUGGUGAUGUCAGAAUGCUAACGUGUAACAGAUGCUCAAGGUUACGACGAGCAGCCCGAAGUGUGUCCCUGAGACAUCAUUAGGAUAACGAGAGAAACCUUAAUUAUGUGGAGAGGAACACGUAAUUACUAACCUGACACGCUUUCUGGAUCCACAAGUUGGACUGCGUCCAGCAAUGAAAAGUUGAGUUGCAUCUUAAACCUGUGCAGGCUGGAUUUCUCUUGGUUCCAUUUGUAGAAUGUGUAUCAAAGACGACAUUCACACACGACAUCCGUGGUUCUGCUACAAUGCCAGCGCUUUUUAGCCUGAAACAAUCCAAAUCCAGUGGCAACUGUCGGCUUUGCUGACGUAUUGGCGUUGGACGUUUUCAGAACAACUGUCAGGAUAAUAGCUCGAGUCAUUUGUAGAUAUUUUGCUUUGAGUUUGAUUUUGGUCGACUUCCAGCUGUUAUUUUGUUCUCUCGUCCAAUCACAUGCUGUCAACCUCUGAAGUGAUAGAAAACAGACUUCCAAAAAGCAGGUAGCUAUCAUGCAAGCGAGCAACCUCGCAUUAAAAAACCUUC